UACGUAGGGUGCAAGCGUUGUCCGGAAUUAUUGGGCGUAAAGAGCUCGUAGGCGGUCUGUCGCGUCUGCUGUGAAAACUCAGGGCUUAACCCUGAGCUUGCAGUGGGUACGGGCAGACUAGAGUGCGGUAGGGGAGACUGGAAUUCCUGGUGUAGCGGUGAAAUGCGCAGAUAUCAGGAAGAACACCGGUGGCGAAGGCGGCUCGCUGGGCCAGAUCCGACACUCAUCCGCGAAAGCGUGGGGAGCAAACAGG
rnacentral:rRNA from 1 species